rnacentral:rRNA from 1 species
UUGAACGCUGGCGGAAUGCUUUACACAUGCAAGUCGAACGGCAGCACGGACUUCGGUCUGGUGGCGAGUGGCGAACGGGUGAGUAAUAUAUCGGAACGUAUCCAAUAAUGGGGGAUAACUAAUCGAAAGGUUGGCUAAUACCGCAUACGCCCUACGGGGGAAAGCUAGGGACCUUCGGGCCUGGCGUUAAUGGAGCGGCUGAUAUCUGAUUAGCUAGUAGGUGAGGUAAAAGCUCACCUAGGCGACGAUCAGUAGCUGGUCUGAGAGGACGACCAGCCACACUGGAACUGAGACACGGUCCAGACUCCUACGGGAGGCAGCAGUGGGGAAUUUUGGACAAUGGGCGAAAGCCUGAUCCAGCCAUUCCGCGUGAGUGAAGAAGGCCUUCGGGUUGUAAAGCUCUUUCGCAAGGGAAGAAAACUUAGCCACUAACAUUGGCUGAGGUUGACGGUACCUUGAUAAGAAGCACCGGCUAACUACGUGCCAGCAGCCGCGGUAAUACGUAGGGUGCGAGCGUUAAUCGGAAUUACUGGGCGUAAAGCGUGCGCAGGCUGUUUUGUAAGUCAGAUGUGAAAUCCCCGAGCUCAACUUGGGAACUGCGUUUGAAACUACAAGACUAGAAUAUGUCAGAGGGGGGUAGAAUUCCACGUGUAGCAGUGAAAUGCGUAGAGAUGUGGAGGAAUAUCAAUGGCGAAGGCAGCCCCCUGGGAUAAUAUUGACGCUCAUGCACGAAAGCGUGGGGAGCAAACAGGAUUAGAUACCCUGGUAGUCCACGCCCUAAACGAUGUCUACUAGUUGUUGGUGGAGUAAA